GGGGAAUAUUGGACAAUGGGCGCAAGCCUGAUCCAGCCAUGCCGCGUGGGUGAAGAAGGCCUUCGGGUUGUAAAGCCCUUUUGUUGGUAAAGAAAACCAGCCGGCCAAUACCCGGUUGUUCUGACGGUACCCAAAGAAUAAGCACCGGCUAACUCUGUGCCAGCAGCCGCGGUAAUACAGAGGGUGCAAGCGUUAAUCGGAAUUACUGGGCGUAAAGCGCGCGUAGGUGGUUAGUAAGUUGGAGUGUGAAAUCCCCGGGCUCAACCUGGGAACUGCAUUCAAAACUGACUGACUAGAGUAUGGUAGAGCGUGGUGGAAUUUCCUGUGUAGCGGUGAAAUGCGUAGAUAUAGGAAGGAACACCAGUGGCGAAGGCGACCACCUGGACUGAUACUGACACUGAGGUGCCAAAGCGUGGGGAGCAAACA
rnacentral:rRNA from 1 species